rnacentral:lncRNA from 1 species
AGUGUGCCAUCUCUGCCCAUAAUCCAAAUGGCGUGCCUGAGGCAUAGAAAGCAGCUUUCAGGGAGGCCUUCCUUCCUCUGAGCAAUGGUGGCAUCAUCAGAAAAGUGGAGCUCCUCCAAAAGGAUCUGCUGGAAGCAGAGGACGCCCAUGUCGCCUGGUGACUCCCUCUGACCCAACAAGUUGCAGCACCUCUGCUGGGCUUUGCCACUGCCCCAUUUUUGCCAGAGCCUCACCCUGGUGGGGCCCCACCUCUGGGAAGCCCCAGCGCCUGCAAGAUUUUUUCCUCUCGUGACAGGGAGCAGCAUGCGGAGGGCCCUUGCACAACCUGGGUCUUCAGGAAGGACAGUUUCUAACCAGAGUUCUGUUCCUUGCCCAGGUGUUGGCCCAGCUCUCUUCAUGGUUCCAAGAAGGCUGCCCCAGGAAGGCUUGUGGACAGAGGGAGAAGCAUCUCUUCCUCUAUGUCUCUUUUUAUCUAAGAAACCAGUUUGACCAGCAUCCUUCCCCUCGGCUCCCCAGGAGGAAUGCACGGAUCCCUUCGCCUUCCCCCAUCCCUCCAUGGUUGACUAAACCCACUAGGAUCCACUCUUUUGCGUGGAAAUGGGUUCAGGCCUCCCACGAAGAGCAUGAAGAUGCCCUCUGUUAUGGGUUACAUUAUGUCCCCUGCCCCCGAGACCGUAUGUUGAGUCCUAACCCUAGUAUUGCAGAACGUGAAUUUAUUAGGAGAUAGGGUCUUUAUGGAGGUCAUUAAGUUAAAUGAGGGUGUUAGGGUGGGCUGGUGUCCUGAUAUAAAGGGGAAAUUUGGGGCUGGGUGUAGUGGCUCACACAUAUAAUCCCAGUGCCUCGAGAGGCCAAGGCAGGAGGAUUGCUUGAGGGCAGGAGUUCAAGACCAGCUUGGGUAACAUAGGGAGACCGGUAUCUAUAAAAAAAAUUAAAAACAAAAAAAUUAGCCGAGUGUGGUGGUGCAUGCCUGUAGUCCCAGCUACUCAGGAGGCUGAGGUGGGAGGAUCGCUUGAGUCCAGGAAUUUGAGGCUGCAGUGAGCCAUAAAAAGAUGGGGGACGAUGGAGACGCACAGGGAAAACACCUUGUGAAUGCGGCAGAGAUAAGGGUGAUGCCUCUACACACCGAGGAACUUCAGAGACAACCAGUAAGUCACUGGGAGCUCGGGGAAGGCACAGCGCAGAUGCUCGCUGCCCUCAGAGGGAAGCCAGCCCGCCAACCCCUUGAUCUCAGACCUCUGGCCCCUGGAACUGUGAGAUGAUAGAUUUCUGUCGUUUAAGCACAGUGGUGCUGUGUUAUAGCAGCCCUAGGGAACCAUCCACUAUCAGAACAAAAGCAGGGCUGGACUGCUAGAAGAAAGGAGAGGAGAAUGGCAGAGGAUACCCACCUUGGGGCUGAAUCUGAGAUCACUCCAGGGCUCCCCAGGUUGUUUUGAAGAAUGGAGAUGGAUUUGUGCAGGGCUCACUGUAGAAGCUCAGUGCAGCAUGCGACGCUUAUAAGGCUGCAAUCCCCAGAGCUCAGUCCCUGAAGAGCGCUGCAUUCACAGACAUCAGCCAGCAGACAAACCAGUACCUAUUGUCCCUGACCCCCAGAAUCCAGCAGACAUAUAAAAGAUGGUUGUUAACCCCACUAAGUUUUGGGGUAAUUUGUUAUGCAGCCAUGCAACUGAAAGAAGCAGCUACAAUAUUUUUAUAAUGAAAUUCUUAGCCAGGACCCUCAUAGCCUAGCAAGAAGUUCUGUCUGGAAGAGCCCAGCUUUGGGGUUGGGUAUGUCUGGGUUUUAAUAUGUCAAGAGGGCAGGCCCUGGAGACGGAGCACAUGGAUUUGAAUCCCAGCCUCUCAUAGGCAGGUUAAUUAAUUUCCCUGAAUCUCAGUUUCUUCAUCUCUCAAUGGAGAAAAUAAUAGAAGCCACCUCACGGGAAUUAAAUGAGAUUAUUUACGCACAGCACCAAGGCUGUGGCUACUGUAUUUGACCCCUGAAACAGUUAAUUUUUCUUGACAUCCCUUCCUUGGUAUAUGUAUUAGUCAGGGUUCUCUAGAGGGACAGAACUAAUAGGAUAUCUCUCUCUCUAUAGAUUUAUAUAAAGGGGAGUUUAUUAAGUAUUAACUUACACAAUCACAAGGUCCUGCAAUAGGUCGUCUGCAGGCUGAGGAGCAAGGAGAGCCAGUUCAAGUCCCAAAACUGAAGAACUUGGAGUCUGAUGUUCGAGUCCAGGAAGCAUCCAGCACAGGAGAAAGAUGGAAGCUGGGAGGCCAGGCCUGACUCUCCUUUUCAUGUUUUUCUGCCUGCUUUAUAUCCGCUGGCAGCUGAUUAGGUGGUGCCCACCAGAUUAAGGGUGGAUCUGCCUUCCCCAGCCCACUGACUCAAAUGUUAAUCUCUUUUGGCAACACCCUCACAGACACACCCAGGAUCAAUACUGUCAGUUCAAUCAAGUUGACACUCAGUAUGAACCAUCGCAAUACAAUAGGAUUACUUUCUGUGAUAACCUGUGUAAAAAUAGGCAGUCAUGAUUUUCCUGUUGUGUUCUUCAGGUGUAAAACAAAAAAUUUUAAAAGAAGAAACUUCAAUUUUAAAGAUAUUAUUCAAACUAAGUUAAACAUUUUGUGUAUAAAUUAAAACAAUAAAUUUUGUUUGCAUGUAU